rnacentral:rRNA from 1 species
UUGACUCUGUGGAGGCGCGAACCGACUUCAGUUGAAAAUGGAGCGGAUGACCUGUGGAUAGGGGUGAAAGGCCAAUCAAACUCGGUGAUAGCUGGUUCUCCGCGAAAUGCAUUUAGGUGCAGCGUCGUGCGUUCAACGAUGGGGGUAGAGCACUGAAUGGGCUAGGGGUCCUACAAGACUACCGACCCCAAUCAAACUCCGAAUACCAUCGUUCCAGAGCACGGCAGUGAGACCUCGGGGGAUGAGCUUCGAGGUAGAGAGGGAAACAGCCCAGACCGCCGGCUAAGGUCCCAAAAUCUGAACUAAGUGGUAAACGAUGUGAGAUUGCGAAGACAGCCAGGAGGUUGGCUUGGAAGCAGCCAUCCUUGAAAGAGUGCGUAACAGCUCACUGGUCGAGUGAUCUUGCGCGGACAAUGCAACGGGGCUCAAGUUCAGUACCGAAGCCGCGGAUGCGACUCUUUGAGUCGUGUGGUAGCGGAGCGUCGAGCGUGCAGCGAAGCGGCGGGACAACCCAGCCGUGGAGCGCGUUCGAGUGCGAAUGUUGGCAUGAGUAGCGAAUGAGGGGUGAGAACCCCCUCCGCCGUAUGUCCAAGGGUUCCUGGGCGAGGCCAAUCCUCCCAGGGUGAGUCGGGAGCUAAGGCGAGGCCGAGAGGCGUAGUCGAUGCACAACUGGUUGAUAUUCCAGUACCACCAUGUUCGCGUCCGUCCCAAUACUCUGUUGCUAAGGGGCUGUGUUGACUUCGGUCAACGCGAACCGACCCACAUUGUUGCGGGAAGCUGUAGGGGGACGCAGGAAGGUAGAUGAACCCGGUGAAUGGUAGAACCGGGGUAAGCGUGUAGGAGGAGGACCAGGUAAAUCCGGGCCUCAUAAACUCUGAGACGUGAUACCGAGCCGCUUCAGGCGAAGUCAUUGAUCCUAUGCUGCCUAGAAAAGCCCAGCAGCGAGUUGACAUGGUGCCCGUACCCCAAACCAACACAGGUGGACAGGUAGAGCAUACCAAGGCGAGUGGGAUAACUAUGGUUAAGGAACUCGGCAAAUUGCCUCCGUAACUUCGGGAGAAGGAGGACCCCAGUAGCGUGAUGAGACUUGCUCUCUGAGCGUGAAGGGGUGGCACAAAAUUGAGGGAAGCGACUGUUUACCAAAAACACAGCAGCGUGCUAAGCCGUAAGGCGCUGUAUACGCUGUGACUCCUGCCCGGUGCUGGAAGGUUACGGGGAUGGGUUAGUCCUUCGGGACGAAGCUCUGAACCUAAGCCCCAGUAAACGGCGGCCGUAACUAUAACGGUCCUAAGGUAGCGAGAUUCCUUGUCGGGUAAGUUCCGACCUGCACGAAUGGAGUAACGACUUCCCUACUGUCUCAACCAUAGACCCAGCGAAAUUGAAGUACGAGUAAAGAUGCUCGUUAGCUGCAGAAGGACGGAAAGACCCCGUGGACCUUUACUAUAACUUGAUGUUGUGUUUUGUG